ensembl:processed_transcript
GGCAAAGCACAGUGGAAGGCAGGCUGGGAGUGUGCGCCCACACCCAGGAAGGAGGAGAGAGGAGGGAGGUUUGCAGUGGCAGUACUAAGCAAAUGCAGUAAAUACAAGUACUGCAGUUGCCGGGGGGGGGGGGGGGGGGGGGGGGGGGAGAGCAUGCUUAUUUUCUCUUCCCUCCACUCCUCAGGAGCAAGCCACAAAGAAUUGAUGAAGAGAGAAAGUGUGUCCGAAGCAAUUGAGCGCUCUCUGCGUGGGGUCUUCCCAGCCCAUUGGUACCGGUUGAAUCAAGAUGGAGCGAGUUUGGAGAUGUACAUCAAAGCUUCUCCUGCUUCACAUGUCUCCAAAGCGUUCCUUGGCUGCCAGGGAAGAAGAGCGUCACACUCAUGGUGAACACUGAUAAUUAAAGUCAACAUCUCAGCACACUGAGUCAAUUUAUUGAACACCUUUUUUUAUUGCUAGGUAAUCCUGUAUGUCAAUUCUCUAUAGCCAAAUAAUUGGUGGGUUUCUUUUUUUUUUUUUCUUCAAAUUUAAUGUCUCUCAUGAAAUUUGCAUUUAAUAAUAAAGGUUGCUUUCCUGUCUUUCUCAGGAACCUC